CCAGACUCCUACGGGAGGCAGCAGUGAGGAAUAUUGGUCAAUGGGCGGGAGCCUGAACCAGCCAAGCCGCGUGAAGGAAGAAGGCGCCAGGCGUCGUAAACUUCUUUUGUCGGGGAACAAAGGGCGCCACGUGUGGCGUUGUGAGUGUACCCGAAGAAAAAGCAUCGGCUAACUCCGUGCCAGCAGCCGCGGUAAUACGGAGGAUGCGAGCGUUAUCCGGAUUUAUUGGGUUUAAAGGGUGCGUAGGCGGUCCUAAAAGGCAGCGAAAAGAGCCGGGGGCACACCCCCGGCGAGCCGUUGAAACUGUCGGACUAGAGACGGCGAGAAGUACGCGGAAUGCGCGGUGUAGCGGUGAAAUGCAUAGAUAUCGCGCAGAACUCCGAUUGCGAAGGCAGCAUGCCGGCUCCACACUGACGCUGAGGCACGAAAGCGUGGGUAUCGAACAGGAUUAGAUGCCCGGGUAU
rnacentral:rRNA from 1 species